rnacentral:rRNA from 1 species
CACGUAGGGCGCAAGCGUUGUCCGGAAUUAUUGGGCGUAAAGAGCUCGUAGGCGGUCUGUUGCGUCCGCUGUGAAAACUCGGGGCUUAACCCCGAGCCUGCAGUGGAUACGGGCAGACUAGAGGUAGGUAGGGGAGAAUGGAAUUCCCGGUGUAGCGGUGAAAUGCGCAGAUAUCGGGAGGAACACCGGUGGCGAAGGCAGCUCUCUGGGACGGUACUGACGCUGAGACGCGAAAGCGUGGGGAGCGAACAGG